UAUACACUAGAAAGCCUUAGGAUAAUGCAAAGAAGGAAAAAGACAAUGAACAGAAAAGAAGAUACGGACAACAUUGCGGCCGCUUACAUUUCUUGUUUAUGAUUAGAAAUAAAAAUGUUUAUUAUUUUAGUAUUGACAAAGCUACCACAAAAGAUGGUACAGAUGCGCUGUAUUUAGGUGUUAAUCAAAGUUCUUAAACAUUAUUUAAUAAAGCUGGAUUGCCCCUGAAGAUGCUAAAAAUGUUUUAGCGAAACGUUGGGCCAGAAAGUGGAA